GGUAAAUAAGAAGGUGUCUUUUUCUUGGAAAGUCUUCUUCUUCAUCAACUCUUUUUUCUGCACAUAUCCCUCAACAGUACUGCUCACACAUCACACACACACGCACACACACUGAACAUUAUGUGUGAUUAGACAGGCAUAUAUAUACAUAUAUAGCAGAAAAACGUUCCAAUUAUAUUGGAAUAAUGGGAUUUCUGAAAGAUGAAGGCGUGGUUUACAAGCCCGUUGACAGUGUUGAUCUUGGCCCUGACAGCAAGGAAGUUUAUCUCCGAGCCAAUGUUAAAGCACCUCGAAUGGCUGGCUUUCUAGUUAAAGUUUUUGCUUGGCUCUUGGAGUCGAGAAUUUUUGGAGCUCUUAUGUUAUACAUCCUCAAGAAAAACAAUCUGAUUCAUAAGCUAGUUUCAUUUGCGGAGUUGCAAGAAUCACCUCUUUUUGUGCCAUUGCACCCUCAUGAAGGGCAUGGUGAAGAAGAAAAAUGCACCAAGCCUGAUCAUCUUUCUCCUGUGGAACAAGUUCAAUUGGCUACUGAUUGUCUUCAAACUUCAGAGGAAAUGAAUAAAAUUAAUCCAAAACUUAGUUUUCAACGCUGGACAAUACUGGAUUAUUCAAGAAGAUAUAUGUCUCAAGAAGUAACUCCUGUCAUGGUAGCAAAGAAGUUUAUAGCAGCUGUGAAUGAAUCAUCCAAGCCUUUACGACCUAUGUCAUUCUUUAUUGAUUUCAAUCCUGAAGAUAUAUUACAACAAGCUACCGAAUCAACUCAUCGGUAUGAACGAGGUGAGCCAAUAUCUGUUCUAGAUGGAGUUCUGAUUGCCAUUAAAGAUGAAAUAGAUUGUCUACCAUAUCCAACCACAGGAGGUACAAAGUGGCUGCACAAAGUAAGACCGUGCAUUGAAGAUGCCUGCUGUGUUAAACGCCUAAGGUCAUGUGGUGCCAUUCUGGUCGGGAAAACAAACAUGCAUGAGCUUGGAGCUGGAACCAGUGGGAUAAAUCCUCAUUAUGGGACAACACGAAAUCCAUAUGACAGCAGCAGAAUUGCUGGUGGUUCUUCUAGUGGAUCUGCUGCUGUGGUAUGUGCAGGACUAUGCCCUGUUGCUCUUGGUGUUGAUGGAGGAGGAUCCGUACGAAUGCCGGCUGCUCUCUGCGGUGUUGUUGGUCUCAAGCCAACAUUUGGACGUGUACCACACUCGGGUGUUCUCCCUCUGAACUGGACAGUUGGGAUGGUUGGGAUACUAACUGGUACAAUUGAAGAUGCACUUAUAGUGUAUGGAGCUAUCAGUGGCCCAAUAUCAUCAGAUCAAUCUGCUCAAGUAAUGGUAUGUGGAGAUAUUACUUCACAUUCAGACGCGGAGUCUAAAGUAUGUUUUCCAUUACUUAAGGCACCAGAGUGCAGAUCUGACAUCAAACUGGCAAAAUAUGGAGAGUGGUUCAAUGACUGCACUGAUGACAUAAGAGUCUGCUGUUCAAAUGCUUUGGCCAAAUUAUUUGAUGUCUAUGGUUGGAAGACGAUAGAGGUUACCAUGCCAGAGAUAGAGGUGAUGCGUCUAGCACAUUACCUGACCAUUGGCUCUGAAUGUAGUACCUCAAUUGCUUGUCAUCUGGAAAAGUUGGAUAUGGCAGAAUUGGGAUGGGAUGCUAGGGUAGCACUUUCCGUCUAUGGUGCCUUCAACAGCAGGGAGUACUUGAACGCCCAGAUGAUUAGGAACCGGCAGCUGCAGUUUUACAUGAAAAUAUUUGCCAAGGCAGAUGUCAUAGUUACACCGACAACUGGUGUAACAGCAUAUCCAAUAAAGGAUGAUGUUUUGAAGACUGGAGAGUUGGAUUACAUAAAUGGAGGCAUGAAUUGGCUAAUUUUCUAUCCAAAAAAGAAAAGGGGGCAGAAAUCUUAUCUUGGACUUUAUCAUUUCAGCCGCACUAGUUCGAUAUCAGAUAGCAGGGAACUUCUUGGGAUUGCCUGCAGUGACUGUUCCAGUUGGAUAUGAUAAAUCAGGACUGCCAAUUGGUCUUCAAUUUAUCGGGAAGCCAUGGUCCGAAUCUCUGUUAAUCCAUGUAGCCUUCGCAAUGCAAGCACUAUGCAUAUCAGAUUACAGAAGGCCAGAAAUUUUCUAUGAUUUGCUAAGCAAGGAUUAAGUCAAUCUUGACAGAAUUCUACAUGUACUGGCCUUCUCAUUUCCAGGAGAUUAACGAAGUAUUACCAAGAUAAAAGCAGUAAAGGACAGGUUAAUUAGUAUCUAUCUCUUCUAGAGUAAAGGACAGAUAAAUCAAUGUUCUUUGGUAUGCCUGUGAUAUAUAUGCAUUUAUUGUGUCCUGUUUUUAUACAUUUCCAAGUCUUUUUCUUACAUGUAAUGCUACUUUUUGUCACUGUUUUGAAGUAUAUCUACCAAAUGUUUAUCUUAAAACUGGAUGGUAAUGCGUA